GAUGAACGCUGGCGGCGUGCCUAAUACAUGCAAGUCGAGCGAACGGACGAGAAGCUUGCUUUUCUGAUGUUAGCGGCGGACGGGUGAGUAACACGUGGAUAACCUACCUAUAAGACUGGGAUAACUUCGGGAAACCGGAGCUAAUAUCGGAUAAUAUUUUGAACCGCAUGGUUCAAAAGUGAAAGACGGUCUUGCUGUCACUUAUAGAUGGAUCCGCGCUGCAUUAGCUAGUUGGUAAGGUAACGGCUUACCAAGGCAACGAUGCAUAGCCGACCUGAGAGGGUGAUCGGCCACACUGGAACUGAGACACGGUCCAGACUCCUACGGGAGGCAGCAGUAGGGAAUCUUCCGCAAGGGGCGAAAGCCUGACGGAGCAACGCCGCGUGAGUGAUGAAGGUCUUCGGAUCGUAAAACUCUGUUAUUAGGGAAGAACAUAUGUGUAAGUAACUGUGCACAUCUUGACGGUACCUAAUCAGAAAGCCACGGCUAACUACGUG
rnacentral:rRNA from 1 species